CAUGGUCUAUCUGGUCAGAAGCAAUAAAAUGUACGUGUGUGUCAAUACCGCCUGCUGUCGCUAUGAGGCCGCUACCGUCGUGUACUUCUGUGGCUGCGCCUAUGAUCAUAUCAGGUUCAACACCAUCUAUAGUAUCCGGAUUACCGGCUUUGCCAAUAUGCACGAUUCUUCCGUUCCGUAUGCCAAUAUCUGCUUUUAUGAUACCCCAGUGAUCUAUAAUGAUGACACCUGUUAUUGCCAGAUCCAGCACGCUCUCGCUGCGCAUGGCUGUUGAGGAUUGCGCCAUGCCAUCCCGGAUG
rnacentral:sRNA from 1 species